UACAGAGGUCUCAAGCGUUGUUCGGAUUCAUUGGGCGUAAAGGGUGCGUAGGCGGCGCGGUAAGUCGGGUGUGAAAUCUUGGAGCUUAACUCCGAAACUGCAUUCGAUACUGCCGUGCUUGAGGACUGGAGAGGAGACUGGAAUUUACGGUGUAGCGGUGAAAUGCGUAGAUAUCGUUUGGAACGCCAAUGGUGAAAACAGGUCGCUGGGAGUGUGCUGACGCUGAGACACGAAAGCCAGGGGAGCGAACGGG
rnacentral:rRNA from 1 species